GCAUGGACGAAUUCUGUUUUACUUGAACGUAGUAAAUGCAGUCAGACACCAUGCUACAGCAAAGUUCAUGCCAACGUUUUAUUUGGAGUAAUGCUCUUAUGUGCAUUUGUCCUGUGUUGAUGCGAACACAA